CUUGGCCCUUGGACAUUUCUUUGCUGCGCGUUGAAUUUUUUCAGCGCGUGGGGGAGAAGGCGAGGGGCUUUGYUGGGUUGUGACCGUGACGGCAUGUGAGUGGUUGUUGAUGUGCGCACUACGUCAGGCUCCCCGCUUUGUUGCGGCCAACUGACGAGUACCACAUACCUCUUUCAUUCCUAUGUGUUGAAUUUCACUAGGUUUGAUGUUGCCUUCGUGGAAAUCGGACCGGGUUCGGAAUACAAUGAUGGAUGAUGCUUAUCUGUACUGCCCCUUGUCUUAUCCAAGCGUUUGAAAGGGGUACCCAGCUGGAUACUUUGGUAUUUUGAUUGCUUCGUUGUGUUGCCUAUCAUUUUUAUCGUUGAGUGSUCCAAAAAUUUUACGGGUGUUGUGCAUGCUAAAGAGUCUUGGGAAGCCUUUCCUUCGUGCUUAUUAUUUCUAGCUCGGUUUCGCCGCCACCUGUCUUAAUAAACGCCUGCACGUGUCAUGGAGUGUCUUCUUCUUUGAGGAGGAAUACAAAAUGUUACUGUGUANGUGUUUAAAAGGA
rnacentral:misc_RNA from 1 species